UCUCACCUCACCCUCUGUCCACACAGAAUUUCCCAGGGGGCCCGGGGCUCUCUUGUGCUAGAGACUGGCUGAGGCCGAGGGCUUGUCACCCAGCCCACCUGCUGCCAGGCUGGGUACUGGCUCACAGCUCUGUCCCUGAGCAGAUCUAACCCAGCCCUCCCCUUGCUGUCCCCUCCCUCUCACUGCGUCCCAAGCACCCGGCCUCCAGGGUCAUUUGGAAAACCUGCCUGUCCCCAGACAUCUUGAAAUCUCUUGAGUGGAGACCUUUCCUUGCCACACUUAAUGAAUUUCAGGAGCUGAAUGUGGGCCCCUGGGAGGUUGGGGGCUGUGAACAGUGGGGAGAGGAGUAGACAGGGACAAAGAAGUUCAGGACAGGAAGGUGCAAGAACCUGGGCUGCGGGGGCUGAUUUUCCUGAGCAGAACUGGGCUAGCAUGUUCGUGGGGACAAGGGAACAAUGGGGGAGAUGGAGGCCGGGUGUUUUGCUAAGCCAGGGCAGGAAAGCCUGACCUUCUGCACUUCUCAGGGGCCCAGCAGUGCCCUCCACACAGACCCUGGAGAUAUGGGCUUGGGGCUCUUGCCCAGAGAGUGGCAGGGAGGGCCCAUCUUAGGUCCUAAGGUGUCUGCUGGUUCUGCCAGGUCUAACUCAGGUGCCCAAGAAGCAAGUCCUCUGAGGGCCCCAAGACCACCCAUAGUGGCCCUAGAAAAGGUGGCUCCCCCAUCCCCCUUGAGCCUUAAACUUGGCAGAUUUCCUGGAUUCCAUGACUGACACAGACCUUCCUUUCCCAGCAGCCAGCCCUGAGCAGGGCCCAUGGACUCGCCCUGUCCCUUCCCCUCCUUGACCAGGCAAACCAUCUUGAAGUUGCUAGAGCAAGAUUCUUCCUUAUCCACUGGGAGAGGCCAGGGUCUGUCCUUCUCUCAGGCCACCCCCACCCCCAGCCCCCCCUUCUCUUCUCAGGUGAUUUUGGUGGCAUACCUCUUCCUUUCUGUCCUAAGCCCAUCAACCCCCCUCCCACUUUUUUUUUUUUUUUUUUUUUUUUUGGCCACAGAAAAGAAAGAAAAAGGAAAACAGCCUAAAGGCAUAUUCUCCUUUGUGUAAAAUUAAUAUAUGCUAUUCAAGGGCAUGUAAAUGUAAUUUUAAAGUCAGCUUUCUUGGGCCUUUGUUAGGAGGCCGCUGUCGUGGUCAGAAAUCUACAUAGCAUAUGGCAUAUAGUAGGUGGUCAAUAAAAAAAAACUCAUCCUGCCCUCCUCUCUCCCCGCCACCUUUCCUUUCUCAAGGGUCCCGAGGGCACCUGGGCUUCCCAAAGCAGAGAGGCCUGUUGGGGGCAGAUGCCCACCUGCCCUCCCGCCACCCGUGCCUGUCUGGGCUUCUCCUCCCAGAACAAACCUCUCCUGCAGGGGAGGGCAGGUGGCACCUGAGGGACUGUCCUGAGGGCUACUGAGGGACUCAAGGAAAAAACCCACCUUGAGUCAAGCAAGUCUUCCAUGUCUCAGAGGGGAUCCUUCCCAGGCCUCCUUUUUUUUUUUUUUUUUGAGAUGGAGUCUCAGAGUCUUGCUGUGUCACCCAGGCUGGAGUACAGUGGCGUGAUCUCAGCUUACUGUAACCUCCGCCUCCCGGGUUCAAGCGAUUCUCCUGCCUCAGCCUCCCGAGUAGCUGGGAUUACAGACUGCACCAUCAUACCCAGCUAAUUUUUUUUUUUUUUUGAGACAGAGUCCCACUCUGUCGCCUAGGCUGGAGUGCAGUGGCAUGAUCUUGGCUUACUGCAACCUCCGCCUCCCGGGUUCAAGCGAUUCUCUUGCCUCAGCCUGCCAAGUAGCUGGGACUACGGGCACGUGCCACCACACCCGGGUGAUUUUUGUAUUUUUAGUAGAGACGGGGGUCUCACCAUGUUGGCCAGGCUGGCCUCAAACUCCUUAUCUCAGGUGAUCCGCCUGCCUUGGCCUCCAACUCUGUGCUGGAGCUACAGAUAUGAGCCACCGCGUCCGGCCAGGCCGCCUUUUAAAUUAGGAUCAAGGAGCAUGGCCUGAAAAAAUGAUUGUUUUAGUGCCCCGACCCCACGAGGGAGUGCGGGACUGAGACCCCCAUCAGGCCACUGAGCAGGGGAGCCAGGACAGCUUGGCGGUCACACCCCGGAGGUCUGGGUGCAGCGCGGGAAGGCUGGGUCCCUUCUAGGAUCUCUGGGCCACUAGUCCAGCUGUGGGGACAGUGUCCGAAGCCCCUGCCCCACUGACUGGGGAUCCGGAAAAAGGGUGCCACCUCCCCACCCCAGGCAUCUACUUUGCUUAAUGGAGGCUGAGCCCAAAGAGAUGCCAUUGAGCACCUAACACCACUAUUGCCACUUUUCUGGCCACUUUUCCACAUCAAACUCAUUCUUUUGGUCAAGUGGGAAUAGAAAUCAGGGAAAGUUGUGGGGAAAGUCAUUUCAAGUAAACAGAUUCAAAAGCGCUCGACAGCCCCUCGGCGGCUCCGCUCCGAAUAACCCCACCGCGGUCAGCAGGUUUCGGAGCGGAGUCCGGGUCUCCAUCGGCUGCAAAAACCAGCGAAGUGGGCGGCUCCGCCAGGCCGAGGACCCAGUGCAGUCGCCGCAUUUCGCUCUUCACCCUCCAGGUGGCGCUAGCGGGGGCGGAGCGCAUAUUUGUAUUUGGGGAGGAGCUUCAGAAAUGCUGACUGUUGAUUGGCUGGGCUCAGUCUCGCUUUCUUUUCUCCUUCCCGGCAGGGCUAGGGAGGGGACCCAGUCCCGGUGCCUGAGCUGCGCAAGAGGAAACGUGUGUGUGGGAAUGGGACAGAGGGGACGGGGUUGGCUCACUUGACACAGAAAGAACAUUUGGGGCAUGGCCCCUGGGUGUGUUCACUCCUCAAGGACAAUCCUGAUUUCCUGGUUUUUGUUUUUUUAAUAAAGGCA
rnacentral:lncRNA from 10 species